rnacentral:tRNA from 1 species
AAGUGUAUAGCUCAGUGGUAGAGCACAUGCUUAGCAUGCACUAAGUCCUAGGUUCGAUUCCCAGUAUCUCUG